CCUACGGGUGGCAGCAGUGGGGAAUAUUGGACAAUGGGGGCAACCCUGAUCCAGCCAUGCCGCGUGUGUGAAGAAGGCCCUCGGGUUGUAAAGCACUUUCAGUGAGGAAGAACGCCUGGUGGUUAAUACCCAUCAGGAAAGACAUCACUCACAGAAGAAGCACCGGCUAACUCCGUGCCAGCAGCCGCGGUAAUACGGAGGGUGCGAGCGUUAAUCGGAAUUACUGGGCGUAAAGCGCGCGUAGGUGGCUUGAUAAGCCGGUUGUGAAAGCCCCGGGCUCAACCUGGGAACGGCAUCCGGAACUGUGAAGCUAGAGUGCAGGAGAGGAAGGUAGAAUUCCCGGUGUAGCGGUGAAAUGCGUAGCGAUCGGGAGGAAUACCAGUGGCGAAGGCGGCCUUCUGGACUGACACUGACACUGAGGUGCGAAAGCGUGGGUAGCAAACAGGAUUAGAUACCCCGGUAGUC
rnacentral:rRNA from 1 species